CUGGGCAGGUUUUCCCGGCGGGAAGUGUGUUCUGGGGCAGCACUGCCCGCAUGAGGCAGCAGCAUCCCUGACUUGAUGCGAGAGGAAGGCAGCGGCAGCAGGGGCUGAAAUGCGGUGACACCAGACCAAACCUAGCUCUGUGCCAUCUCUGUGCCAUCUCUGUGCCAUCUCUGUGCCUUGUAAAUAGCGUCAUCUCCGGGGAUUUCUUGACACUCUGCUGAAAUUAGCACCUGUAAAAAGAGCAGCUGCCAAAGCAGAAUUUAAACAAGAUGGGGAGAAUACCAGGAGGAAGAGGGCAGAGAAUGAGAGAGCUCUUGAAUCACUUCCUACCAUGCAGGCACCUGCCUGGAAAUCAGCUCCCAUCUCCUCUAGCCCUGCUCAAAGCUCACAUUACUGCAGCAAGAUGCCCACAGCUGCCUCAAGGGCUGGGCACUGUGCCUGCCCUGCCAGACACAGGCCUGGCCCCCAGUGCAGGUGCCCACUUCGCUUGUUCUCCCAGCAGAGCCACCCCCAGUCCCCAAAAUGCCACCACUCACUAAAACAGGCUGGAGAAAUACAGAGUGGGGAUGCCCCUGGCCAACCAGCCCUGGCCGCCUCUUGAGCUUGAGUGGGUAUCCCAAGUCCUGUGCAGCAUCAGGGAACGUUGCAAGCAGGCAGCAGCAACCAUGGAUUGCUUUUUUUCCUUUUAAUUGGGGUUAGCAGGUGGCACAUGCAGUUCAUUACAAAUGCACAGGAAUGAAACAACUCUCCUGGCAGCUAAAAUGACAGGGAAAUGUGGGGUUUGGGAUGGGGAGAUGCAAGAAGGUCAGGAAGGACCAUAAAGAGCUGUGGCAGCUGAGGCACAAAACCCUUCUGUUUGCAACUGGCAAUGAGGCACUGACAGAUAAGAGAAGUGGGGGAAGUGGUGUGGGGUGGAGGCUGUAAUUCUGGCCCUCCAGGGCUGGCACUGAGGGUGCUUCCCAUGUGGGCAUGGAUGGCUGUGAAGGCUGCAGAGACUGAGCUUAGGGAGGACCUGACACCUUCCUUGUGGAGGAUGCACCAAAAAAAAGGAAAAAAAAUGGGAGGGAAAAAAAUCAAAUUAAAUGCUUCUCUUUAUUGUUCACCCACUCCUUAUUAAAGCAUUUUUCUCUAACA